rnacentral:rRNA from 1 species
GACGAACGCUGGCGGCGUGCUUAACACAUGCAAGUCGAACGGGAGUAUCGAAGAAGCUUGCUUUUGAGAUACUUUAGUGGCGGACGGGUGAGUAACGCGUGAGGAGCUGUCCUAUGCAGGGGGACAACAGUUGGAAACGACUGCUAAUACCCCAUAAGCCGAGAGGUAAAAGGAUUUAUCCGGGAAAGGAGGUACUCGCGUCGUGUAAGCUAGUAGGUGAGGGAACGGCUCACCUAGGGGAAGACGGGUAGGCGGCCUGAGAGGGCGAACGGCCACACUGGAGCUGAGAUACGGUCCAGACUCCUACGGGAGGCAGCAGUGGGGAAUAUUGGGCAAUGGGGGCAACCCUGACCCAGCGACGCCGCGUGGGUGAAGAAAUCCUUCGGGAUGUAAAGCCCUGUUGUAUGGGAAGAGCAGAAGACGGUACCAUACGAGGAAGCCCCGGCAAACUACGUGCCAGCCGCCGCGGUAACAC